GACGAACGCUGGCGGCGUGCUUAACACAUGCAAGUCGAACGAAGUGGCGAACGGGUGAGUAACGCGUAAUCAACCUGCCCUUCAGAGGGGGACAACAGUUGGAAACGACUGCUAAUACCGCAUACUGAAGGAGGGGAUUGCGUCUGAUUAGCUAGUGGGGGGGGUAACGGCCCACCAAGGCGAUGAUCAGUAGCCAGUCUUAGCGUAUGAACGGCAACAUUGGGGCUGAGACACGGCCCAGACUCCUACGGGUGGCAGCAGUGGGGAAUCUUGCGGAAUGGACGAAAGGCGGACUGAGCAACGCGGCGUGAGUGAUGACGGCCUUCGGGUUGGAAAGCUCUGUUAAUCGGGACGCGGUACCGGAAUAGAAAGCCACGGCUAACUACGUGCCAGCAGCCGCGGUAAUUC
rnacentral:rRNA from 1 species